GCCAUCGUAGCUCAGUGGUAGAGCACUUCCUUGGUAAGGAAGAGGUCGCCGGUUCAAUCCCGGCCGAUGGCU
rnacentral:tRNA from 1 species